CAUCCCCAACAGAACAAAUCACUCACACACAGUGACAGAGGCAAGAAGAAGAAGCUAGAGAGAGAUCAGUGUGUGUUAAGUCGCAGCCUUGCAGGGUGAUGGAGUACAGCUACUACGGCAACUACUUGAGCGGCGGCGGCGCCAACAUGGCGAAGGAGAAGAGGCCACCGCUGAAGAGGGGGCAGGUCAAGCGCAGGAUCGUGAGGAGCAUCAGCAACCUCAUGGCCAACAACGCUGCUGCUGAUGACGACUCCAACUCGGCCCAGGCUGCAGAUCAUCGCAACAGCUUCAUCAGGAGAGAAGCAAGCUACAAUAAUAACUAGAUGUGUGUUCUUGCAGUUGCACUACAUAUACUUCCUUAGUUUGUGUUCUUCUCUAAUGCUCUGGUACUGUGCAAAUAGAUGCAUAUGCUAUUUUGAUUCUCCAUCAUGUCUGUCUCUACUCUCUGCUACUAUACAGAGCAGCUGUUCAUUUCUUGGCUUGAAUGAAGACAAGGGAAAUGGAUCCGUCUGCCAA